rnacentral:snRNA from 1 species
GGAUUUUUCUAAGGGUGAUCUGCCUGUGACAUCUUUCACCUCACUGAUCACCACUAAUCUUGGUGUGGCUGAUCUGGCUGCCUAGGUGGAUGUCCUCUUCUUCCCUCCCCACUCCAUGGGCAUCUCUCUCAAACCUGCGCACUCAGUGGAGGAGGAUGGUCAUCCAGGUAGAAGGAGCGUAGCAUUUUUCAGUCAAGGGUACAUGAAGUAGUCCACAUNNNNNNNNN